GUAAGUCCAACCCUAUCUCACGGCGAAUUCGUACUAAUUCGUACGAAUUAACCAAGUGGCUAAAUCGUACGAUAUCGUACGAGCUGGGUCGUACGAAUUCGUACGAUUUGUUCAUUGCAUUUAGUACAAGCCCAUCAAGACGAAUUCGUACUAAUUCGCACGAUUUAAUUAAUUGGUUAAAUCGUACUAUAUCGUACGAUUUGUUCUUCACGUUCAAUAAGCUUGACCCAACUCUCGACAGGAAAACAACGCGAUAUUUUCCUGCAGUUUACACGCGCCACUUCUCGUUACUUCAGAUCCCAUUCCAUUCACCCUUUCAUCUAUUCCAUCUACUCUAAAAUCCAACCCAAUGGCUCUUUUAAGAGCCAUCAUUAGCAAAAGCUCUAAUUCUCUCUCUCUCCCACACACACACACACACACAAAUUAACACACACUCUCUCUCCCACACACACACACACAAACUAACACACUCUCUCUCUCUCUCCCACACACACACACACACAUAAACUAACACACACACUCUCUCUCUCUCUCACACACACACACACACACACACACACACACACACAAGCUAACACUCUCUCACUCACACACACACACACACACACACAAGCUAACACUCUCUCACUCACACACACAUACACACAAACUAACACAAUCUCUCUCUCUCUCUCUCACACACACACACACACACACAAACUAACACACUCUCACUCACACACACAUACACGCAAACUAACACACUCUCUCUCUCUCACACACACACAAGCUAACACACUCUCUCUCACUCACACAGACACACACAAACAUGGCACCUGGAGCCACAACACGUCAGUGUAGUGUUUGCUGCAAAGAGAUUGGCAGUGCCUCGAAAACAUGCAAGCACUGUGGAAUGAAGGUUACACUGAAGAAAAAUCUGGAAGACCAAAAACUUAAAUUUGAUGGCCAGUGGGCAGCCAAAUUAAAAAAAGAUGGCAAUACUUGCAAAAUUAUGAAUUCUGUGGACUUGAUUCUCCAUAAAUUGGAAUUACUGGGCGUCUCACCGAUGCUUUUUAUUACUACACAGAGAGGC
ensembl:lncRNA